rnacentral:tRNA from 1 species
GGCGCGUUGGAGAAACGGUUAACUCACCAGCCUCUCACGCUGGCAUUCAUGGGUUCGAAUCCCAUACGCGUCACCA